UGGGGAAUUUUGGACAAUGGGCGAAAGCCUGAUCCAGCAAUGCCGCGUGUGUGAAGAAGGCCUUCGGGUUGUAAAGCACUUUUGUCCGGAAAGAAAUCCUUGGCUCUAAUACAGUCGGGGGAUGACGGUACCGGAAGAAUAAGCACCGGCUAACUACGUGCCAGCAGCCGCGGUAAUACGUAGGGUGCAAGCGUUAAUCGGAAUUACUGGGCGUAAAGCGUGCGCAGGCGGUUUGCUAAGACCGAUGUGAAAUCCCCGGGCUCAACCUGGGAACUGCAUUGGUGACUGGCAGGCUAGAGUAUGGCAGAGGGGGGUAGAAUCCCACGUGUAGCAGUGAAAUGCGUAGAGAUGUGGAGGAAUACCGAUGGCGAAGGCAGCCCCCUGGGCCAAAUACUGACGCUCAUGCACGAAAAGCGUGGGGAGCAAACAGGAUUAGAUACCCUGGUAGUCCACGCCCUAAACGAUGUCAACUAGUUGUUGGGGAUUCAUUUCCUUAGUAACGUAGCUAACGCGUGAAGUUGACCGCCUGGGGGAGUAC
rnacentral:rRNA from 1 species